rnacentral:lncRNA from 1 species
UGGAAGCUCCAUAUAUAGGACGCAUAUAAAGGAUGCUAUCUCAGUGAUUCUCUAUUCUUCUUUGUUUUUGGUAUAGCUUUUCACUCAUGCCAAGUGGUAUCUCAACAAUUCUCAACGUCUUUGGAAGCAUGAAAAUAUGAAACUAACAAAUAACCACGUUUGCCCAAACGUCGUGUAACCUUCCAGCCGCAUAUCGACUCUUGAGAAUCCAUUGGGGUUUGUCCUCUUUCAUUGUCACGGGCCAACUGAAAACAUAAGAAAAUUCCUUUGUUAGUAAAUCUGGAUAAAGUGAUUUGAGUGGAAGCAAACUUUUAGCUGAAUGAAACAAAAAGGAAUAUAAUGUGGAAGCACGGUUAGUAAGAAGCAUGAAAAAUUAUAUUGGGUGCAUCAGUACUAUUGCUUGGAAGCAUAAUGUGGAUGCAUGAUAAUAAGCAUGAAAAUGUGAACUGGGUGCAUCAGUAGUGUCACUUGGAAGCAUAGAAAUUUGAACCUGAAAAGAAAACAAAUAUUGCUACCAAAUGGAGAGGCAGAUCUCUGGAAGCUACAUACAUCUGUAGGAAGUACAUAAUGUUUGCUAUCCCAACAAAAAAAAUUAUCUGACCACAUACAUAUUUUUUGCAGGUGAUUUGACCACAUACAUGAACAGCUGAACACUAAUAGGCACACAAUGAACACAUGGACCAAUGAACACGAGCGGCUCGGGGAAGGGCUCGGGUCGAUUUUCGCACUACAGUACCUUCAGUUUCUGAGGAGGGACACUUUCAAGAGGGGAAACACAGAUGCAACUGCUGGUUAUCCGUCGGGGGUAUGAAAGAUGAAUGGCUACUCCGGCAACCGGAGCAUCAAUCUAGAUGGAGAUGGGGGGUCGGGAUGGAACACCUACAAUGCCGUGGGGCACAUCGAAGAAGAGGAAGAUGUAUUAGGGAGGAG